GACGAACGCUGGCGGCGUGCUUAACACAUGCAAGUCGAACGGUAAGGCUCCAGCUUGCUGGGGUACACGAGUGGCGAACGGGUGAGUAACACGUGGGUGACCUGCCCUGCACUUCGGGAUAAGCCUGGGAAACUGGGUCUAAUACCGGAUAGGACCGCACCGUGAGGGUGUGGUGGAAAGUUUUUUCGGUGUGGGAUGGGCCCGCGGCCUAUCAGCUUGUUGGUGGGGUAAUGGCCUACCAAGGCGGCGACGGGUAGCCGGCCUGAGAGGGUGGACGGCCACAUUGGGACUGAGACACGGCCCAGACUCCUACGGGAGGCAGCAGUGGGGAAUAUUGCACAAUGGGCGGAAGCCUGAUGCAGCGACGCCGCGUGGGGGAUGACGGCCUUCGGGUUGUAAACUCCUUUCACCAUCGACGAAGGGUUUCUGACGGUAGAUGGAGAAGAAGCACCGGCUAACUACGUGCCAGCAGCCGCGGUAAUACGUAGGGUGCGAGCGUUGUCCGGAAUUACUGGGCGUAAAGAGCUCGUAGGUGGUUUGUCGCGUCGUCUGUGAAAUUCCGGGGCUUAACUCCGGGCGUGCAGGCGAUACGGGCAUAACUUGAGUACUGUAGGGGAGACUGGAAUUCCUGGUGUAGCGGUGAAAUGCGCAGAUAUCAGGAGGAACACCGGUGGCGAAGGCGGGUCUCUGGGCAGUAACUGGCGCUGAGGAGCGAAAGCAUGGGGAGCGAACAGGAUUAGAUACCCUGGUAGUCCAUGCCGUAAACGGUGGGCGCUAGGUGUGGGUUUCCUUCCACGGGAUCCGUGCCGUAGCUAACGCAUUAAGCGCCCCGCCUGGGGAGUACGGCCGCAAGGCUGAAACUCAAAGGAAUUGACGGGGGCCCGCACAAGCGGCGGAGCAUGUGGAUUAAUUCGAUGCAACGCGAAGAACCUUACCUGGGCUUGACAUAUACAGGAUCGCGCCAGAGAUGGUGUUUCCCUUGUGGCUUGUAUACAGGUGGUGCAUGGUUGUCGUCAGCUCGUGUCGUGAGAUGUUGGGUUAAGUCCCGCAACGAGCGCAACCCUUGUCUUAUGUUGCCAGCACGUUGUGGUGGGGACUCGUAAGAAACUGCCGGGGUUAACUCGGAGGAAGGUGGGGAUGACGUCAAAUCAUCAUGCCCCUUAUGUCCAGGGCUUCACACAUGCUACAAUGGUCGGUACAGUGGGUUGCCAGUCCGUGAGGGCGAGCUAAUCCCGCAAAGCCGGUCUCAGUUCGGAUCGGGGUCUGCAACUCGACCCCGUGAAGUCGGAGUCGCUAGUAAUCGCAGAUCAGCAACGCUGCGGUGAAUACGUUCCCGGGCCU
rnacentral:rRNA from 1 species